rnacentral:rRNA from 1 species
AUUGAACGCUGGCGGCAUGCUUUACACAUGCAAGUCGAACGGCAGCGCGGGCUUCGGCCUGGCGGCGAGUGGCGAACGGGUGAGUAAUUCAUCGGAACGUGCCCAGUCGUGGGGGAUAGCCCGACGAAAGCCGGCUUAAUACCGCAUACGACCUGAGGGUGAACGCGGGGGACCGAAAGGCCUCGCGCUAUUGGAUCGGCCGAUGUCGUAUUAGCUAGUUGGUGGGGUAAAGGCUUACCAAGGCGACGGUCCGUAGCUGGUCUGAGAGGGCGACCAGCCACACUGGGACUGAGAAACCGUCCCGACUCCCAAGGGAGGGAGCAGUGGGGAAUUUUGGACAAUGGGGGCAACCCUGAUCCAGCCAUGCCGCGUGCGGGAAGAAGGCCUUCGGGUUGUAAACCGCUUUUGUUCGGGAAGAAAUCCUCUGGGCUAAUACCCCGGGGGGAUGACGGUACCGGAAGAAUAAGCACCGGCUAACUACGUG